UACGGAGGGUGCGAGCGUUGUCCGGAAUCAUUGGGCUUAAAGGGCGCGUAGGUGGCCCCUCAAGCGUGCGGUGAAAGUCAGGGGCUCAACCCCUGAUCGGCCGUGCGAACUGGGGAGCUUGAGCACUGUAGAGGCAGGCGGAAUUCCGGGUGUAGCGGUGGAAUGCGUAGAGAUUGGAAAGAACACCGAUGGCGAAGGCACUUUACUGGGCUAUUACUAACACUCAGAGACGAAAGCUAGGGUAGCAAAUGGG
rnacentral:rRNA from 1 species